rnacentral:rRNA from 1 species
UGAGGAAUAUUGGUCAAUGGGCGAGAGCCUGAACCAGCCAAGUCGCGUGAAGGAAGACAGUCCUAAGGAUUGUAAACUUCUUUUAUACGGGAAUAACGGGCGAUACGAGUAUUGCAUUGAAUGUACCGUAAGAAUAAGCAUCGGCUAACUCCGUGCCAGCAGCCGCGGUAAUACGGAGGAUGCGAGCGUUAUCCGGAUUUAUUGGGUUUAAAGGGUGCGUAGGUUGUUCGGUAAGUCAGCGGUGAAACCUGAGCGCUCAACGUUCAGCCUGCCGUUGAAACUGCCGGGCUUGAGUUCAGUGGCGGCAGGCGGAAUUCGUGGUGUAGCGGUGAAAUGCAUAGAUAUCACGAGGAACUCCGAUUGCGAAGGCAGCUUGCCAUACUGCGACUGACACUGAAGCACGAAGGCGUGGGUGUCAAACAGG